UGCCCCAUACGAAAGGUAUGGGGGAAGGAGAUUGUUGUCAACUCUCCUGCUAGAAUAUUCUCGAGAAUAUUUAGC
rfam:Faecalibacterium prausnitzii A2-165 genomic scaffold Scfld2, whole genome shotgun sequence.